UGGAGAUCCUGGCAGUUUCUUCA
rnacentral:misc_RNA from 1 species